ACCUGGUUGAUCCUGCCAGGAAUCAUAUGCUUAUCUCAAGGACUAAGCCAUGCAAGUCUAAGUAUAACAGAAUCAUACUGUGAAACUGCGAACAGCUCCUUAAAUCAGUUAUAAUCUACUCGAUUGUGCCAUUCCUACAAGGAUAACCGUGGAAAAGCUGGAGCUAAUACUUGAUAAAAAUGAUGAGCGCAUUUGCGCAAAUCAUGUGUUUAUUCGGUAGAAAUUAACUUAUGUUGAUGAAUCAGAAUAACUUUCGGAUCGUGGGGCAACUUACGACGUUUCGAAUGAAUUUCUGCCUACCAAUUGAAAUCGUAGUAUAGAGGAUUAUGAUGGUGAUCACGGGUAACGGAGAGUUAGGGGUCGACUCCGGAGAAUAAGCUUAGAGACCGCUUAUACUUCUACGGGAGGGAGCGGGGCGCACUUAUUCAUGGUAAACACUGAAGUAUUGACAGAAAUAACGAAUUGGACUUCGGUUCGAUUUUUGGAAUGAAAGCAGAGUAAAUAUCUGUCUGAAUGCAUUGGAGGGCAAGUCAGGUGCCAGCGCCGCGGUAAUACCUGCUCCAAUAGUGUAUAUUAGUGUUGCUGCAGUUAAAAAGCUCGUAGCUUGGAAUGAAAUCAAGCUCAUGUUAGCACCACCUGCUUUGACAGACGACCCUCGGACAGGGAGCCUUCGGCUAUCUUUGGUUAAGACGGUUGAUCCUUGUUGGUUGGCCCUAUCACUUUGAUAAAAAUGGAGUGUUCCGGCGGGCAUUUGCUACUGAACACCUCCGCUAGGAUGACGAAUACGACUGUGAGUCGAUUUGUUGGUUAAAGACUUACGUAAUGAGCAAUAGGAGGUAGUGGUGGGCAUUGGUAUUGGAAUCGCUAGCCGUGGAAAUGCGUUUAAUGAAUCCAGAUCCAACUG
rnacentral:rRNA from 1 species